ACAAUAACUAAAGCAUGGAAGCCAGGCUAAAAUAGCAACUAAAAACGUAUACCUGAUGCACUCGCUCUUUACACGAUUUUGCGUAGGAGAGAAUGAGACCGCAAACUGAACAUAGUUCUCAUAAUUUGCAGGUUGUCAUUAGCAUUCAGUGGACUCAUUACAAUUUUAUGUCAUUGGACUUAUUCAGCAUACUACCAAAUUCAAAAUCACGUUUUGACGUUCUAUGUUUCAGUUUCACUCAACUUGCUCACUUGGCCGAAUUAAAGUACUGAUGUGUCACCGUGGUUGUGUUUACGGCUCGUGUUAUUAAAACAAUAUUUUCUAAGGAAUUUGCGCAAAAGAAAGUGUAUGGUCGUUCCUGGUCGUUCUUUAUGAUGUGUUUUAUAUCAUAAAAAUAUGUCUUGUGUGAUUGACGGCUGCCAUUCACAUUCGGGAAGAAAAGAAAACAGUGGUAAAAAAAUUCACUUUCAUUCAUUCCCAAAGGAUGAAAAGAUCAAAGUAGAGUGGAUAAGACGAGUCGGGAGACCUGACUGGAAGUGGAAGACCUACAGCAGGAUCUGUUCCAAGCACUUCUCGCCCGACAAUUAUUUGCACAGUGAAUAUUCUACUAAAAGGCGGUUAAAAUUUCAUGCUGUGCCUUCAAUUAAUUUGUCCGAAGCUGAUUCAAUUAGUUCAGAACGAGGUCUCAUUCACAGUGUUCCAUCUGCUGUACAAGGACAAGGAAAUAUUACGGUAACUUCUGAAUAUGGCCACGUUCAAUGUAUUCCAUCUGCUGUAACCCAAAGAGCUCUUCGUGAAUUAGAAGGACAAGAAAAUAGGGUACGUAUCUACAAUUCAU